rnacentral:tRNA from 1 species
GAGGGUAUAGCUCAGUGGUAGAGCACAUGCCUAGCAUGCACAAGGUCCUGGGUUCAAUCCCCAGUACCGCCA